GACGAACGCUGGCGGCGUGCCUAAUACAUGCAAGUAGAACGCUGAAGAGAGGAGCUUGCUCUUCUUGGAUGAGUUGCGAACGGGUGAGUAACGCGUAGGUAACCUGCCUUGUAGCGGGGGAUAACUAUUGGAAACGAUAGCUAAUACCGCAUAACAAUGGAUGACACAUGUCAUUUAUUUGAAAGGGGCAAUUGCUCCACUACAAGAUGGACCUGCGUUGUAUUAGCUAGUAGGUGAGGUAACGGCUCACCUAGGCGACGAUACAUAGCCGACCUGAGAGGGUGAUCGGCCACACUGGGACUGAGACACGGCCCAGACUCCUACGGGAGGCAGCAGUAGGGAAUCUUCGGCAAUGGGGGCAACCCUGACCGAGCAACGCCGCGUGAGUGAAGAAGGUUUUCGGAUCGUAAAGCUCUGUUGUAAGUCAAGAACGAGUGUGAGAGUGGAAAAUUCACACUGUGACGGUAGCUUACCAGAAAGGGACGGCUAACUACGUGCCAGCAGCCGCGGUAAUACGUAGGUCCCGAGCGUUGUCCGGAUUUAUUGGGCGUAAAGCGAGCGCAGGCGGUUUGAUAAGUCUGAAGUUAAAGGCUGUGGCUCAACCAUAGUUCGCUUUGGAAACUGUCAAACUUGAGUGCAGAAGGGGAGAGUGGAAUUCCAUGUGUAGCGGUGAAAUGCGUAGAUAUAUGGAGGAACACCGGUGGCGAAAGCGGCUCUCUGGUCUGUAACUGACGCUGAGGCUCGAAAGCGUGGGGAGCGAACAGGAUUAGAUACCCUGGUAGUCCACGCCGUAAACGAUGAGUGCUAGGUGUUGGAUCCUUUCCGGGAUUCAGUGCCGCAGCUAACGCAUUAAGCACUCCGCCUGGGGAGUACGACCGCAAGGUUGAAACUCAAAGGAAUUGACGGGGGCCCGCACAAGCGGUGGAGCAUGUGGUUUAAUUCGAAGCAACGCGAAGAACCUUACCAGGUCUUGACAUCCUGAUGCUAUUUCUAGAGAUAGAAAGUUACUUCGGUACAUCGGUGACAGGUGGUGCAUGGUUGUCGUCAGCUCGUGUCGUGAGAUGUUGGGUUAAGUCCCGCAACGAGCGCAACCCCUAUUGUUAGUUGCCAUCAUUCAGUUGGGCACUCUAGCGAGACUGCCGGUAAUAAACCGGAGGAAGGUGGGGAUGACGUCAAAUCAUCAUGCCCCUUAUGACCUGGGCUACACACGUGCUACAAUGGUUGGUACAACGAGUUGCGAGUCGGUGACGGCAAGCUAAUCUCUUAAAGCCAAUCUCAGUUCGGAUUGUAGGCUGCAACUCGCCUACAUGAAGUCGGAAUCGCUAGUAAUCGCGGAUCAGCACGCCGCGGUGAAUACGUUCCCGGGCCU
rnacentral:rRNA from 1 species